UACGUAGGGUGCGAGCGUUGUCCGGAAUUAUUGGGCGUAAAGGGCUCGUAGGCGGUCUGUCACGUCGGGAGUGAAAACUCAGGGCUUAACCCUGAGCCUGCUUCCGAUACGGGCAGACUAGAGGUAUGCAGGGGAGAAUGGAAUUCCUGGUGUAGCGGUGAAAUGCGCAGAUAUCAGGAGGAACACCCGUGGCGAAGGCGGCUCUCUGGGACGGUACUGACGCUGAGACGCGAAAGCGUGGGGAGCGAACAGG
rnacentral:rRNA from 1 species